rnacentral:misc_RNA from 1 species
AACGCAAAUUGCGACCUUCUGGUACUCCAGGAGGUAUGCCUGUUUGAGAAUCGUGACCCCCUCACCCUCCAAUAUUGGGGAGUGGACUUGAGUUUUCCCACCGCUUUGUAAGCAAAGCGUGAGUGGGUGACUUUAAAUUUAGGUGGGCCUUGAAACGGAAAGCAAACCUCCGUUGGCGAAAAGGCGUGAUAAAACGUCCAUUCUGGACAAUUAUAUCCUCGCUUCAAGUAGCUGCGGUAAAUGUUUUGAAGUUUCAACUUAAAGGUCUGCACGAUAGCAGGAAAUGAAAAGGGAAACCUUUUUGUGUACUGAAUCUCAAAUCAGGCAAGACUACCCGCUGAACUUAA